AAAUCACAUGAAUUGAGAUCUAAGUGUCUUGAACAAUAACACAAACUUAGAUCUAAGAACACAAACCCAAAAAUUAAAAUCCAAAAAUUAAAAAUCUCAAAAUCACCAUUUUCUCAAACCAAGCAAAAUCAUCAAAUCCUAAAGCCCCAAAGUACCAAAUCAAUCCAAAAAUACAAUACAACCAAUCCAAACAAAAAAAAAUCUCAAACUCAAAAAAACCGAUCUCCAGCAAGUAGAACCCAGCAAUUUCUGGGUUUGUGUCCUCGACAUUGACUGCCCCAUUUCCUUUUCCGAGCUAUUGUUGAAGCUCAAAGAGUUGUGUGGUACAUCUGUGAGCCUUCAUUGCCAGUUGCCAUGGGAGGAUCUAGAUGCUCUAGUAUUGAUCACCUCCGAUGAGGACCUCGCAAAUCUCAUCGAAGAGUACGAAAAGGCCGCGCGCUACCUUUGUCUCUGAAGAUCAAAGCGUUUCUCUCGUCGCCGAAACCUCCUAGAAAAUCAAUCUCUUCUCCUCUUCCUCCUCCAAUCCCUAACUCCUUGACGUCUUCAUCGAAAUUGUCGUCGUCAUCGUCAUGUUCCACUUCAUCUCCAUCUCACAGUCCCACCGGCGGUUUUUGGCGCCAGCGGCUGACAUGUGCCUCCGCCAGAUCUCGUCGCCAGUCGCUUCGUUUCAAAGAUCCGGGGCAAAGAUCAAGCCUCAUUAUGCUUGCUGUGCUCAUGGAAACCCUAGCAACAUCUACCUCAUCCACAACAGGAAUCACUGGCAAUAGCACCAAAUCAGAUGGACUAAAAUUCAACAAAUCCACAAAAAAAAAAAAAAAUAUAUAUAUAUAUAUAUAUAUGAGAAGCAAAUCUCUAAAGCAAAAUUACUAUGGGAGUUUUUAUUUUAUUUUUAUUAAUAUUUUUUUUCUUCAUAUUUUAUAUAUAUGUGAUGUAAUCGAACUAUAAAAUCGUUGAGAUGGAUUGCUUUUGAUCCA